rnacentral:lncRNA from 1 species
AACUGGACCAAAUCAAAGAUGCUAGCAUGGUGAAAGCACUUCAAAGUGUAACAUGUUUAUGAUUCAUUUCAAAGUGUAAACACAAUUAAAAAAGUCAAUUAGAAACUUGUAAGAAACUGUCCUAACAAGUUUAAAAGGGUAAAACCUAGCUAAUUAGAAACUCACACUGNAAAAANAACCUAUAANUCAAAAUAUGACAC